GGGCAACUGCCAUCAGAAGGCUAGCCUGCAUUCUGGUUCAACUGCCGGCAGUUGUCGUCUCUUCUGUACCAUUUAGCUUGGCUGUGAAUGGUGAGGCUUCCCUCGCCUUGCAGCUGCAGUGAAAGCCCUCCAGAGAACCAUGUUUACAGCUGUAGCCAUUCGUGAUCUUAACAAUAUGAAUCAAGGAUCCUAUUUAGUGAAUAACAGCUCAGAACACAAAUGGCUAUGAAGCUACACCCAAGAGGA